UACGUAGGGUGCAAGCGUUGUCCGGAAUUAUUGGGCGUAAAGGGCUCGUAGGCGGUCCAUCACGUCGGGAGUGAAAAGCUGGGGCUUAACCCCAGUCCUGCUUCCGAUACGGGUGGACUAGAGGUAGGCAGGGGAGAACGGAAUUCCUGGUGUAGCGGUGAAAUGCGUAGAUAUCAGGAGGAACACCUGUGGCGAAAGCGGCGCACUGGACCACAACUGACGCUGAGGCGCGAAAGCUAGGGGAGCAAACAGG
rnacentral:rRNA from 1 species